UACGGAGGGGGCUAGCGUUAUUCAGAAUUACUGGGCGUAAAGCGCGCGUAGGCGGCUUGUUAAGUUGAGGGUGAAAUCCCGGGGCCUAACCUCGGAACUGCCUUCAAAACUGGCCGGCUUAGAGUACGGGAGAGGUGAGCGGAAUUUCUAGUGUAGAGGUGGAAUUCGUAGAUAUUAGAAGGAACACCAGUGGCGAAGGCGGCUCACUGGCCCGUUACUGACGCUGAGGCGCGACAGCGUGGGGAGCAAACAGG
rnacentral:misc_RNA from 1 species